CUUGCUCAACUUUGACCAAAUACUUCCUGCUGUGCUAAAGCUUUCGUGGUUCUUGCUAAUUAUGGGUUGGGUGUACGAUCACAGUUUGAGUUAACGUCAAACAAAGGAAACCAAGUUAGUUGAGUCAAGGGAACGGGCUUAGUGUUUCUGUCAGUUUCAUUUACCCAGAAGCUAUGGCUACUGAGCAGAACACAGAAGAUUUUCUGGACAACAGUCAGGUUUUCAGAAGAAAUGCUUUCCUACUUAUUAAAAAAAUGAUGGAAAUGACUACACGCACUCAAGAAGACACUUCUGAAUUGGUGGAUGAGAUUUUUCAUAGCAUCUUCUUUUUGGGGGAGAUUAAUAGACCAGCAUUUUCUCCCAGAGAACUUUUGGAUGAUGAUGAGGACUUACUUAGGGGCUUAAUGAAAGACCAUCCGGAGCCUUUCAGACUUUAUUUUUCUCAGCUACCUAGGCUCAGCUACCUUUUCAUGUCUGCUGGACAUGGUUGUUAACCUGGAGGGACGAGAGAAUGAAGAUGCAAUAAGAACGAGACUGCAAGAAAUCACCCUUGUGUUGAUGAAAAAUGCUCCUAAAAAAAGAAAUAAAUACAAAAAUAAGAAAGUGCUGUUCUCCUCCACGCUCUGCGUCUCUCGUGCAAACAACACAGAUUCAGUGAGGCACUACGGAGUUUCUAUGUCCACCACUGGUCCCAAUGCUGGCAGAAUUAUGAUUGCUGCCUCCUGUUUGAGCUCAUACUGGGAUGAAUAUGUAGCUGAUGCAGUGAUGACCUACUAUCCUGAGAAUACGAAGAAGGAUUAUUUUGAUGGAACCAUCAAACUACCAGAAGGCGUCACAUGCACAGCAUAUAGCAUCAAGUCUGGGUCUGAAAUGCAGCCUUGCAAAGCAUGCGGAAAUCUUUUCAGCUUGAGCCCAGUUCCGGAAGAAAAAUAUCACAAAGAGAGUGACUACGGUCACUGUGCUGAAGUUGAGAGUCUGAGCAACUUGUUAAAACAUGAAAACGUUAAACCAACAUCUAACACAUUCACAAAGAACACAGAGGCCAGAACAUAUACUGAACGGAAGCUCAAAGAAAUUCUGAAAAUGAUUAAGUUUAAGACAUGGAGCAAUGAAUAUUACAGAGCAUCAAAAUCAUUGUUUCAUAGAGAGGACUGAUGCUGUACAAUGACUGUCUUUAAUCACAGGCUGGCUUCAUAUAUCUGUUAUGUGAUUCUUUAUUGAUUAAAUAAGCUUUACUAUACUCUUGAA